AUUAUAUUAUGAAUGUUGUUUUCCUGGAUCCAACCAAAAGUAUGCUUCAACUACAAGCCUACCCCUUUACUUAAAUACAUCACACUGCUUGUUUAAGUACAUCUAUGGCAAGUGUCUGGGGACAUGCCCCCCAAGGCUGGGAACAUACCCCCAUGCUUUAAAUGGCUCCUAAACAGAUUAAUGUGAGCACGUCUGUGUUACGGUUGUUAAAUGCAGUCUUGUCUAUAGCUGUAAAAAGAUUUUGCUAAAUAAAUAAAUUGUAAGGACUACUCAUAAGUGAGUGUUAGAAAAAAACAUGUUUCUGAAAUUAUAUCUACAGGUUCUAUUCUUCCAUUUAAUUAAUGACUGGAGAAGUACUUGGUUUUAAACAGGGCAUGGCAUCUCAUGUUGUGCCCUCCCACCAUCUUUAAACGUAUCCAGUUGCGACUGUAUAGC